UACGGAGGGUGCGAACGUUAAUCGGAAUUACUGGGCGUAAAGGGCUCGUAGGUGGCCAACUAAGUCAGACGUGAAAUCCCUCGGCUUAACCGGGGAACUGCGUCUGAUACUGGAUGGCUUGAGUUCGGGAGAGGGAUGCGGAAUUCCAGGUGUAGCGGUGAAAUGCGUAGAUAUCUGGAGGAACACCGGUGGCGAAGGCGGCAUCCUGGACCGAUACUGACACUGAGGAGCGAAAGCCAGGGGAGCAAACGGG
rnacentral:rRNA from 1 species